rnacentral:rRNA from 1 species
CGGGUGAGUAACACGUGGGCAACCUGCCCGCAAGACCGGGAUAACUCCGGGAAACCGGGGCUAAUACCGGAUAGUCCUUUUCCCCGCAUGGGGAAAAGGGGAAAGGCGGCUUCGGCUGUCACUUGCGGAUGGGCCCGCGGCGCAUUAGCUGGUUGGUGAGGUAACGGCUCACCAAGGCGACGAUGCGUAGCCGACCUGAGAGGGUGAUCGGCCACACUGGGACUGAGACACGGCCCAGACUCCUACGGGAGGCAGCAGUAGGGAAUUUUCCGCAAUGGGCGAAAGCCUGACGGAGCAACGCCGCGUGAGUGAGGACGGCCUUCGGGUUGUAAAACUCUGUUCUUGAGGAA